rnacentral:tRNA from 1 species
GUCCUCCAUAGCUCAGUGGUUAGAGCGUCCAACCGGCACCUGGAAGGUCAUGGGUUCGAUUCCCGUUGGGGAGCUCA